rnacentral:rRNA from 1 species
AGUGGGGAAUAUUGGACAAUGGGCGCAAGCCUGAUCCAGCCAUGCCGCGUGUGUGAAGAAGGCCUUUUGGUUGUAAAGCACUUUAAGCGAGGAGGAGGCUACUUGGAUUAAUACUCUAGGAUAGUGGACGUUACUCGCAGAAUAAGCACCGGCUAACUCUGUGCCAGCAGCCGCGGUAAUACAGAGGGUGCGAGCGUUAAUCGGAUUUACUGGGCGUAAAGCGUGCGUAGGCGGCUUCUUAAGUCGGAUGUGAAAUCCCUGAGCUUAACUUAGGAAUUGCAUUCGAUACUGGGAAGCUAGAGUAUGGGAGAGGAUGGUAGAAUUCCAGGUGUAGCGGUGAAAUGCGUAGAGAUCUGGAGGAAUACCGAUGGCGAAGGCAGCCAUCUGGCCUAAUACUGACGCUGAGGUACGAAAGCAUGGGGAGCAAA